UAACUGUUUAAAGUGCAACUUUCCAGG
rnacentral:piRNA from 1 species